AGGGAUAUAGUUCAGUGCUAGAACACUUGCCUAAGUAAGCAAAAGGCCCUGGGUUUGACCCACUGUCCCAG
rnacentral:tRNA from 1 species